rnacentral:rRNA from 1 species
UACAGAGGGUGCUAGCGUUGUUCGGAAUCAUUGGGCGUAAAGGGCGUGUAGGCGGUUUGUUAAGUCAUGUGUGAAAUCCCUCGGCUCAACCGGGGAACGACGCAUGAAACUGGCAAGCUAGAGUACCAAAGAGGGGGGUGGAAUUCCCGGUGUAGCGGUGAAAUGCGUAGAUAUCGAGAGGAACACCUGCGGCGAAGGCGGGUUGCUGGGCUGACACGUGACGCUGAUGCGCGAAAGCCAGGGGAGCGAACGGG